GACGAACGCUGGCGGCGUGCUUAACACAUGCAAGUCGAACGGAAAGGCCCUGCUUUUGUGGGGUGCUCGAGUGGCGAACGGGUGAGUAACACGUGAGUAACCUGCCCUUGACUUUGGGAUAACUUCAGGAAACUGGGUCUAAUACCGGAUAGGAGCUCCUGCUGCAUGGUGGGGGUUGGAAAGUUUCGGCGGUUGGGGAUGGACUCGCGGCUUAUCAGCUUGUUGGUGGGGUAGUGGCUUACCAAGGCUUUGACGGGUAGCCGGCCUGAGAGGGUGAGCGGCCACAUUGGGACUGAGAUACGGCCCAGACUCCUACGGGAGGCAGCAGUGGGGAAUAUUGCACAAUGGGCGGAAGCCUGAUGCAGCAACGCCGCGUGCGGGAUGACGGCCUUCGGGUUGUAAACCGCUUUCGCCUGUGACGAAGCGUGAGUGACGGUAAUGGGUAAAGAAGCACCGGCUAACUACGUG
rnacentral:rRNA from 1 species